rnacentral:rRNA from 1 species
CCUACGGGAGGCAGCAGUGAGGAAUAUUGGUCAAUGGCCGCAAGGCUGAACCAGCCAAGUCGCGUGAGGGAUGACGGUCCUAUGGAUUGUAAACCUCUUUUGUCAGGGAGCAAAGGGCGCCACGUGUGGCGUUUUGCGAGUACCUGAAGAAAAAGCAUCGGCUAACUCCGUGCCAGCAGCCGCGGUAAUACGGGGGAUGCGAGCGUUAUCCGGAUUUAUUGGGUUUAAAGGGUGCGCAGGCGGAAUGUCAAGUCAGCGGUAAAAUUUCGGGGCUCAACCCCGUAGUGCCGUUGAAACUGGCGGUCUUGAGUGAGCGAGAAGUAUGCGGAAUGCGUGGUGUAGCGGUGAAAUGCAUAGAUAUCACGCAGAACUCCGAUUGCGAAGGCAGCAUACCGGCGCUCAACUGACGCUCAUGCACGAAAGCGUGGGUAUCGAACAGGAUUAGAUACCCGGGUAGUC